AGUCACUGACAUUAGAUACCCGUGUAGUCCCAGCCGUAAACUAUGCUCGCUAGGUGUCAGGCAUGGCGCGACCGUGUCUGGUGCCGCAGGGAAGCCGUGAAGCGAGCCACCUGGGAGGUACGGCCGCAAGGCUGAAACUUAAAGGAAUUGGCGGGAAGCACAACAACGGGUGGAGCCUGCGGUUUAAUUGGACUCAACGCCGGACAACUCACCGGGAACGACAGCAAUAUGUAGGCCAGGCUGAAGACCUUGCCUGAAUCGCUG
rnacentral:rRNA from 1 species